GAUGAACGCUGGCGGCGUGCUUAACACAUGCAAGUCGAACGAAGCACUUUAUUUGAUUUCCUUCGGGACUGAUUAUUUUGUGACUGAGUGGCGGACGGGUGAGUAACGCGUGGGUAACCUGCCUUGUACAGGGGGAUAACAGUUGGAAACGGCUGCUAAUACCGCAUAAGCGCACAGCAUCGCAUGAUGCAGUGUGAAAAACUCCGGUGGUAUAAGAUGGACCCGCGUUGGAUUAGCUAGUUGGUGAGGUAACGACCCACCAAGGCGACGAUCCAUAGCCGACCUGAGAGGGUGACCGGCCACAUUGGGACUGAGACACGGCCCAAACUCCUACGGGAGGCAGCAGUGGGGAAUAUUGCACAAUGGGCGAAAGCCUGAUGCAGCGACGCCGCGUGAGCGAAGAAGUAUUUCGGUAUGUAAAGCUCUAUCAGCAGGGAAGAUAAUGACGGUACCUGACUAAGAAGCACCGGCUAAAUACGU
rnacentral:rRNA from 1 species